rnacentral:lncRNA from 1 species
CCUCAGAGAUCACGAAAUCUCCACCCACAAAAACUGGAUGCGGCUCAUGGAUAACUCGUCGGUACGACGAUACAACGUCAACAUCAUCCGAUAGCGAUGUAGAGAACCAGCUGCAAGAGAAGAAACCCACUGAGGCAUUUAAUCGAACAAGUGGUGCGUCACAAUUAGUAACAGUCGAUGGAGAGACUCAGCUAGAGCUGGAAACACUACUAAAGGCAUCAGCUUACGUACUUGGUACAAGCAGAAGCGGCGGGAUCGUGUACAAAGCCGUGUUAGAGAACGGCUCAGCUUUCGCAGUGCGGCGGAUCGGGGCGGAGAGUUGUACGACGGCGAAAUUCAAAGAAUUCGAAAAGGAGGUUCAGGGUAUCG